UAUGGCCAUAUCGCAUUGAAACACCAUUUCUCAUACAAUCACCAAAGUUAUGCAACAUUGAUCCUGGUCAGUACCUAGAUGGGUGACUGCCUGGGAAUACCGGGUGCUGUAAG